AAAUUGAAGAGUUUGAUCAUGGCUCAGAUUGAACGCUGGCGGCAGGCCUAACACAUGCAAGUCGAACGGUAACAGGAAGCAGCUUGCUGCUUUGCUGACGAGUGGCGGACGGGUGAGUAAUGUCUGGGAAACUGCCUGAUGGAGGGGGAUAACUACUGGAAACGGUGGCUAAUACCGCAUAACGUCGCAAGACCAAAGAGGGGGACCUUCGGGCCUCUUGCCAUCAGAUGUGCCCAGAUGG
rnacentral:rRNA from 6 species